AUUGAACGCUGGCGGCAGGCCUAACACAUGCAAGUCGAGCGGAUGAAGGGAGCUUGCUCCUGGAUUCAGCGGCGGACGGGUGAGUAAUGCCUAGGAAUCUGCCUGGUAGUGGGGGAUAACGUCCGGAAACGGGCGCUAAUACCGCAUACGUCCUGAGGGAGAAAGUGGGGGAUCUUCGGACCUCACGCUAUCAGAUGAGCCUAGGUCGGAUUAGCUAGUUGGUGGGGUAAAGGCCUACCAAGGCGACGAUCCGUAACUGGUCUGAGAGGAUGAUCAGUCACACUGGAACGGAGACACGGUCCAGACUCCUACGGGAGGCAGCAGUGGGGAAUAUUGGACAAUGGGCGAAAGCCUGAUCCAGCCAUGCCGCGUGUGUGAAGAAGGUCUUCGGAUUGUAAAGCACUUUAAGUUGGGAGGAAGGGCAGUAAGUUAAUACCUUGCUGUUUUGACGUUACCAACAGAAUAAGCACCGGCUAACUUC
rnacentral:rRNA from 1 species